UAGGGAAUCUUCCGCAAUGGACGAAAGUCUGACGGAGCAACGCCGCGUGAGUGAAGAAGGAUUUCGGUUCGUAAAACUCUGUUGUUAGGGAAGAAAAAAUGUAUAGUAACUAUAUACAAAAGAGACGGUACCUAACCAGAAAGCCACGGCUAACUACGUGCCAGCAGCCGCGGUAAUACGUAGGUGGCAAGCGUUGUCCGGAAUUAUUGGUCGUAAAGCGCGCGCAGGUGGUUUAGAAAGUCUGAUGUGAAAGCCCACGGCUCAACCGUGGAGGGUCAUUGGAAACUAAUAAACGUGAGUGCAGGAGAGAAAAGUGGAAUUCCUAGUGUAGCGGUGAAAUGCGUAGAGAUUAGGAGGAACACCGGUGGCGAAAGCGGCUUUUUGGCCUGCAACUGACACUGAGGCGCGAAAGCGUGGGGAGCAAACAGG
rnacentral:rRNA from 1 species